ensembl:lncRNA
UGGCAAAGAGCUGGCAUAAUGCAUUUCACCUCUCCUCAAACAUUUGUUAAGGGCUCAUCACGCUGCACUAUUUCUUCCCCUUGCCUUGGAUCAGCCUCUUGAGAAAUCAUUUAGCGUCACACACCCGUUCUCCACCCCCCACUAAUCAAAGAGCCUUUGCACAGUACUACAGACACUGCUUCCAUGUCUCAAAAGCACUAACAAUGCAGAUUUUUUUUUUUUUUUUUGAUUGAAGUCCACUACAGCAGUUCUCCUUUAUCGCAAACUCAAGAUUACUCAACUGCAUUUGGAAAAGAUGCAGGCACCCUCCACGGCACACAUUUGGGAUUGAGUAGAUUCCAGGGGACUAUUCCCAAGAUUAAGCACGUGUGCACACACAAAUCAAGGUCAUGGUAUCUUACACUGACUGUUGGCAGUGUUCGGACACUCUGAUUAAACACUGAUCACAAAUAAAGCCAUUCUACAGUUAUCUUGCUGAAACGUUCAUCACAAGGAUAAAUUGAGCCCAAUCUAAAGCAACUUCAUGGGUGCAGUGGGAUUUGACAACAACAAAGCAGCUGGCCAGAUAGGGACCUUUAUAUAAACUUCAGAACAACUUUGCCCACCAAGAACCCUUUGUUAUUUUGAUUACAAAUUUUCAGGCUUGAUGACAAUAAACUGUCACAUAAGGAUGCUUCAUUUCUUCCACCAUUUGUUAACAGGAUUUGGAAUUACCUUCAAGCACAGGGUGGGCUGCAAGGGGUGAGGGGGGAGAGACAAAACAAGCAAGUAUAUUGGUGUGUUUCUUUGAGAAGUGUAGGUAGAGAUAUGACAGUUUCUAUGGUAACAACAAGACUUUUUUAUUAGUAACAGAAAAAUAGGUGUUGAGAUAACCUCUUGUAAGCCGUCAGUGCUUAAGUUAUUUCUAGUCUCAGACACUGCUUUCAAUUAAUGCACACUUAAUUUUUAAAUAAUGGGACAACCUUCUUUAGGAGAUAUAUGCUUCUCAGGUGUGUAAUGGAGAAGCGUUGAGUUUCAGGUAUGUAUUAGGAAAAAAUGCUAGAAUGAGUCAGAGGAAAACUAUUCUGCAAGGAAAGAUUUCUGCUUUCUGCGGGAUUCUCACAGCAUUAUUUUUUGUAACACGGUGAUUAAUUUAUUGUUCAUCAAAAGAACCGACUGAUGAGUUGGAACAUUAAGGAAAGUUCAAGUAAACAUAACAAAACUACAGCUUGAUUCCUGAUGAUGUUUUUUGACAUUAAGA